AGAGUUUGAUUCUGGCUCAGGACGAACGCUGGCGGCGUGCUUAACACAUGCAAGUCGAACGAUGAAGCCUAGCUUGCUAGGUGGAUUAGUGGCGAACGGGUGAGUAAUACGUGAGUAACCUACCUUUAACUCUGGGAUAAGCCUGGGAAACUGGGUCUAAUACCGGAUACGACCAAUCUCCGCAUGGGGUGUUGGUGGAAAGCGUUAUGUAGUGGUUAUAGAUGGGCUCACGGCCUAUCAGCUUGUUGGUGAGGUAACGGCUCACCAAGGCGACGACGGGUAGCCGGCCUGAGAGGGUGACCGGCCACACUGGGACUGAGACACGGCCCAGACUCCUACGGGAGGCAGCAGUGGGGAAUAUUGCACAAUGGGCGCAAGCCUGAUGCAGCGACGCCGCGUGAGGGAUGACGGCCUUCGGGUUGUAAACCUCUGUUAGCAGGGAAGAAGAGAGAUUGACGGUACCUGCAGAGAAAGCGCCGGCUAACUACGUGCCAGCAGCCGCGGUAAUACGUAGGGCGCGAGCGUUGUCCGGAAUUAUUGGGCGUAAAGAGCUUGUAGGCGGUUUGUCGCGUCUGCUGUGAAAGGCCGGGGCUUAACUCCGUGUAUUGCAGUGGGUACGGGCAGACUAGAGUGCAGUAGGGGAGACUGGAAUUCCUGGUGUAGCGGUGGAAUGCGCAGAUAUCAGGAGGAACACCGAUGGCGAAGGCAGGUCUCUGGGCUGUAACUGACGCUGAGAAGCGAAAGCAUGGGGAGCGAACAGGAUUAGAUACCCUGGUAGUCCAUGCCGUAAACGUUGGGCACUAGGUGUGGGGGACAUUCCACGUUUUCCGCGCCGUAGCUAACGCAUUAAGUGCCCCGCCUGGGGAGUACGGCCGCA
rnacentral:rRNA from 1 species